rnacentral:rRNA from 1 species
UACGGAGGGGGCUAGCGUUGUUCGGAAUUACUGGGCGUAAAGCGCACGUAGGCGGCUACUCAAGUCAGAGGUGAAAGCCCGGGGCUCAACCCCGGAACUGCCUUUGAAACUAGGUGGCUAGAAUCUUGGAGAGGUCAGUGGAAUUCCGAGUGUAGAGGUGAAAUUCGUAGAUAUUCGGAAGAACACCAGUGGCGAAGGCGACUGACUGGACAAGUAUUGACGCUGAGGAGCGAAAGUGUGGGGAGCGAACAGA